rnacentral:rRNA from 1 species
AUUGAACGCUGGCGGCAGGCCUAACACAUGCAAGUCGGGCGCGAAGCGGACGGGUGAGUAAUGUAUGGGGAUCUGCCUGAAGGAGGGGGAUAACUACUGGAAACGGUAGCUAAUACCGCCUACCAUCAGAUGAACCCCUAUGGGCUUAGCUUGUAGGGAAGGUAACGGCUUACCUAGGCGACGAUCCCUAGCUGGUCUGCGCGGAUGAUCAGCCACACUGGGCGUGCGACCAGGCCCGUACUCCUACGGGAGGCACCAUGGGGGAAUAUUGCACAAUGUGCGCAAGCCUGAUGCAGCAAUGCCGCGGGGAUGAAGAAGUACUUCGGGUGGUAAAGUACUUUCAGUCGGGAGGCGUUACCGACAGAAGAAGCACCGGCUAACUCCGUGCCAGCAGCCGCGGUAAUAC